CACGGACAGCCUGGAUCUGCUGGGUAAAGGGAGAAGUUAUGUCCAGGGUGGGACAGAGAGGACGGCGAGAGAUUUCCUCACUACUCAGAACAGCGGGAAAUUCAAAACUUAGGGAUUAUUUCUGAAAUUUUCCAUUUAAAAUUUUCUAUUUAAAAUUGACGAAGGGUAACUGAAACCAGAGAAAGCAAGACUGACGAUAAGGGAGGGGCCUCCUGUACUCCAAGAGCACUGAAUCUGGAAAAACUCAACACAUCGAUGGAGUCAUAUAUUUAAUUUUUUCUUAAAAGCCGCCUGCGGGGUAUUGUAGAAACGCUGCGCUGCCUAUCACAGCUUGUGAUGUGACACGUUCAUUCUGCAAGUUUAAACUUCGCCUAGAUCGGUUCUUGGGGAAAAGCUGUGCUUCAGAGACAAGGUUGAAGAACUUCGCCUGCAUAUGAUGGAAGAUGACAAUGGGAACCACAGGUGUCAUUGGUGGCUUUGUUUUACAAAGUCUUCACCUUUCUGCUGAGUCACGGGACUAAGUUCAACACAAUUUCUACUUUCCGCCUUCCUUUGGAAUAAUAGUUUUGGAAGCCAAGUAUUAGUAUAUGAUACCAGCCUGGAGUCGGGGACUCUGAAACCUAAUCUGAAGUGUGUUUAACGAGGGUUCUGAACGCUGGGACUUAUUGCUGAGGGGAACAAGGAGACAGUGUGUCCUCAGGGGCAGUGUGGCCGCCCCUAGAGCCACAGCAAGCAGGAAGAAUCGCAGCAUUUGUGGUCAGAACCGA
rnacentral:lncRNA from 1 species